UUAGAGUUUGAUCCUGGCUCAGCGCGAACGCUGGCGGCGUGCCUAACACAUGCAAGUCGUACGGAGGGGUGAUGAGCUCCUCAGCGGCAAACGGGUGAGUAACACGUGAGUAACCUACCCUUGGGAAGGGGAUAACCCUCCGAAAGGAGGGCUAAUACCCUAUACUGCCGAGGACCACUAAGGUUUCUCGGUGAAAGGUGGCCUCUGCUCUGCAUGCUACCGCCCAAGGAGGGGCUCGCGGCCCAUCAGGUAGUUGGUGGGGUAACGGCCUACCAAGCCUAUGACGGGUAGCCGGCCUGAGAGGGUGGUCGGCCACAGUGGGACUGAGACACGGCCCACACCCCUACGGGGGGCAGCAGUGGGGAAUCGUGGGCAAUGGGCGAAAGCCUGACCCCGCGACGCCGCGUGGAGGAAGAAGCCCUUCGGGGUGUAAACUCCUGUCGGGGGGACGAUGUGUCUUGGGGUGAAUAAUCCCAGGGCAUGACGGUACCCCCAGAGGAAGGGACGGCUAACUACGUGCCAGCAGCCGCGGUAAUACGUAGGUCCCGAGCGUUGCGCGAAUUCACUGGGCGUAAAGCGUCCGCAGCCGGACGGGUAAGCGGUGCGUCAAAGCCCACCGCUCAACGGUGGAACGGCGUACCGAACUGCCUGUCUUGAGGCACGCUUAGGCAGGCGGAAUUCCCGGUGUAGCGGUGAAAUGCGUAGAUAUCGGGAGGAA
rnacentral:rRNA from 1 species